CCAUCUCAAAAAAAAAAAAAAGAGGGAGAGAGAGAAAAAAAGAAAGAAAGAAAGAUAGAAGGAAAGAAAGAGACGAUGCUUAAUUUAACAGGUAACGCAUAUAAGGUGAAAUGGCAGUCCUUCUUGGGUCAGCCUGUAGGGUGACUUGGGGGUCUUCAAAAACAGCUCUUUCCAGGAUACCAACUCAUGCUUUUCUUAAGCUGGAGGUGGAUAUGGAGCGGAUGGGGGUGGAGAGAGGUUCUAGGUUCCAGUAACAAAAGGGAUGGCUUCCCCAGACUUCCCUCCCAAACUGCCACUCUGCUUCCCAGUCAGCCCUGCUGAUAGAGGGGAGAUGGUCUCUCCACAGCACUGCAUACAGCCCACUGUUCCCCCUUGCCCCCACUUUCCCCCACCACACAGUGCACAGAUGCUCCCUCCAGGCUGCCCUGACACACACUCAUCUCUACAGGAAAGAGGUAUUUUUGGGGGGAUGACUGUUCUGUGAUUGUGUGAUUUCCUUUCUCAUGUUGCAAAAGAUCCUGUAGUGAUAUGCAAGGGGCAGGGGCUUUUGAUUCAUAGAGAUCUGAGUGCAAAGUCUGGCUCAACUUCUUUUUAUGUGGGUGAUCUUAGCCAAGGUGCUCAGCCUGUCUGAACCUCACUUUUCUCACCUAUAAAUUUAGGGUAGCACCUUCUAUUUCAAGCCUUGUAAGCAUUAGAAACAAAGAAUUGAAUGUUCUUGGUCCACUCUUAAUUAAUGGCAGUGGUAAUUCUACUGGCUAAGGAAGGCUGUGAAAAGCCACAUGUGAGGUGGUUAGAAGUGUGGAUUCUCAAGACCCUGGCCUGGGUCUGAAUCCCCGCUUGGCCACUUUCUAGCUGUGUGACCUUGGGUAGCAACUUAAGCCUAUGCCUCCAUGUCCUCAUCUAUGAAAUGGGGAUCAUAAUUACAGUUAUCUCACAUAAUUGUUAAAAGGAUAAAGUCACUCAAAAUAUUGAAACACUUAAAGCAGUAUCUAGGCCGGAUGCAAUGGCUCACUCCUGCAAUCCCAGCAUUUUGGGAGGCCGAGGCAGGCAAAUUGCCUGAGCUCAGGAGUUUGCCACCAGCCUGGGCAACACGGUGAAACCCCGUCUUUACUAAAAUACAAAAAAUUAGCUGGGGGUGGUGGCGUGCGCCUGUAGUCCCAGCUACUCAGGAGGCUGAGGCAAGACAAUUGCUUGAACCCAGGAGGCAGAGGUUGCAGUGUGGGGAGAUUGCGCCACUGCACUCCAGCCUGGGUGACAGAGCGAGACUCUGUCUGAAAAAAACAAAACAAAACAAAAAACAAAAAACAAAAAAAAGCAGUGUCUAAUAGUCUAAUACAGUAAAGGCUCAAAAAUAUGAGUCAUGUUAUUAUCAUCAAUAGGCUGGGGUGGAUAUGCCUAUGGGACGGGGGAAGUGCGGCCACAACUGCCCAGUCCCACCUUUGCUAAGCUUAGUUUGGCAUCCCGUUCCCUCCCAUCUGCCACCUCCUCAAACUACUGACCUUCCUGUUUUCAUUUAGUACCCAGGGCCAGCCUGCCCCACCAUGGUGACCCUCUUCUUCCCUGGUUCUUUCAGAAAGCUGAACCCAUUCCUCUGCCCUCCCUGAAAACUGCCAUCUUCUGUCCCAUGCAGCCUGUUAGCUUGUCCCUGCAGCCCAUGGGGAGUGGGCAUCACUCAGUGUCUGGCUGACUGCCAUGAGACUCUAGGUAGCCAGCCGUCACCCCGAGCUACUGGGGUCGUGCGAUCCUCCUUGGAGUAUAAGAAUGUGCACCGAGAAAGGAAUUCGGGUGCCUCCGUUAUCUACAGAGUAAGUUCCUCCUCAGAGCUGCCCUAAAUCGCUGCUACUUGUCUUGGGCUCUUCUUCGCUUCUUCACAAUGCUUUCUUCAGCUAGUGGACCUUUGGCAGAGCUGUAGAGACUCAGGGUAAUACAAAUGAAAACAAAAGUGAAAAACUCUUUUUCAUUCAGUAGAUUGCCCCCCACCCCAAACUUAUCUAUAUGGAGAGAGAAAGAGACAGAGAGAAUACCCAGUAGUAGCGAGGGUGUCAGUGGGUGGGCACACUCAUAGUUUAAUGGAGGCAGUGGAAACUGAUAGAGCAUCUUUGGAGAGAAGUCUAGUACUAUCUAUAAGAAUUUAAAACAAGCAUACCAUUAACCCAUUGAUGUCAUUUUUAAGAAUCUAUCCUCUAGAAGCACUUGUGUCAUUACAAAGAUAUUCUCACAAGGAUGUUCAGUGGGCAUUACCUGUAAUUCCAAGACUGGAGACAACACAAAUGUUCAGUGGUAGAGGAAUAGAUAAAUAAGAAAUGAAAUAUUUAUGCAAAGGAGUAGUACACAACUUAAAAACAAUAGGCCUAUAUAUAUAAGCGUGGAAAUAUUAAGAGAAAAAUAGCAUGUUGCAGAAUAAAAUAUAUGGUUUGAUCUCAUUUGGCUUGGUGGUGGCACAGCCUACCAUUUCCCCCUCUCCUCUCAGCUGGGUUGGGGGCUUCCUGCUAAGUUCAAGCUGGCUCAGGGCAGCCUGUACUCAGUUGAGAAUGCCCAGCCCCUUCCUUCCAGCCAAACGGGUCAGUGCUCCCAGGAUGGCCACACCCAGGGAGGGAAGGACUGCCAAGGCCCCAGGGUCAGGACUCUUGCCCAGAGGACCCCACAGGAAGCAGCCUCAUUUUGGGAGCAGACAGACCUGGGUUCAAACCAUUCUUUCAUCUCAUUAUCACUAGCUGAAUGAUCUUGGGCAAGGUUCUUUACUGCUCCGACCCUCAGUUUCUCUAUCUGUAAAAUGGAAAUAACACAGACCACACUGGGUGGUGAGAAUUCAGUGAGACCAUGAAUCCCAAGUCAAUCUCAGUAAGCGCCUUCCCUUUCCCAUGAGCUCAAAGGUUUCUAUUACUUUGCUUUCAAAUUCCUGUAACCCACCCUCAGUGGCAGCCCUGCUCAUCAGCCCUUUCUGUCCAACCUACCCUACUCCUGCUUGAGUCUCCAUGGUGGAUUCUUCCAGAUGCACUCUUUUUUUUUUUUUUUGAGAUGUAGUCUCACUCUGUCGCCCAGGCUGGAGUGCAGUGGCAUGAUCUCGGCUCACUGUAACCUCCGCCUCCUGGGUUCAAGCAAUUCUCCUGCCUCAGCCUCCCAAGUAGCUCGCACUAUAGGUGUGCGCCACCAUGCCUGGCUAAUUUUUGUAUUUUUAAUAGAGAUGGGGUUUCUCCACGUUGGCCAGGCUGGUCUCUAACUCCUGACUUCAGGUGAUCUGCCCGCCUCGGCCUCCCAAAGUGCUGGGAUUACAGGCAUGAGCUACUGUGCCCAGCCCAAAUCUGCUCUUGGUUCUUUAGUCUGUGAAGAACACCGAGGCCUCCUCCAAUACUGAGCUGAGUUGACGGAGCACCUCCUGACACUCCGUCCAACAAUCGGAGGACCUCUGUUCGACCUCCCUCUACUGCCCACUCUCCACCUCUGGGCAACAGUGAAGACAGUCGCAGGCCCUUGACAGUGUGCACCCGGCUCUCCUAGGACUCUGUCCCGCGACGCACACCUCCCACAAUUCUGUCCCCUUUCCAUCCUCCAAGAGCCACCCGAGGGCUGGCUUUCCAUCUUUUUGCUGACAGAGUGACUGAGCUUGGGAAGAAACUUGACCGUGUUCUCUCUUUUUCAGAGGAGGAAACUGAAGCUCCUACACGUCCCUAAGUAACUUCCCCAAGGCCACACAGCGGGUGAGCAGGAGAGCAAGAGUUGUCUUUUAUCCAGGAAUCAAGUGCUUCCGGAAGUUUCCCGCUCUCCGGAACUUCUUCCCUUCCACUCCACACUUUCUCAGCCUCCAGAAAAGCCCAGCCAGGUGCAUAUUAGCAUAAAAACGUCCCGUCCCUAAUUAGUAG
rnacentral:lncRNA from 10 species